ensembl:lncRNA
CUUGCAUAUUAAUUGAUUGCUGUAGAAGAACAUGCAGUAUUUUGAACGUGUGAGGAAACAUUUUAGGGCUUGAAGUGUACAUUUUGUCCCACAGAAAAGUGGAGGAUCUGCAGUUCCGUGUAGAGGAAGCUUGCAUUACCAAAGGUGACCUAGAGACGCAGACCAAACUGGAGCAUGCCCACAUUAAGGAGCUCGAACAAAGUCUUCUCUUUGAAAAGACCAAAGCAGACAAACUCCAGAGGGAGUUAGAGGAUACUAGGGUGGCCACGGUGUCCGAGCGCUCCAGAAUCAUGGAGCUGGAAAAGGAAGUGUCCGACCUGCAUCUUCAGCUGAGAACUCUCCGGGCCGAGACCGCGGGAUCAGCCUCACCUCCAUUACAAGACAAAAAGAUCAAGGAGUUGAACUUUGAGUUAGAGGAUAGACAGAAGGAAGUUCUCCUAUUCCAGCAGAAACUUGCCUCCUCUGAACAGGAUAGAACAUGCCUCCAGCAGCAGCUGCAAGAUCUGAAACAGAAACUCGACACAGCAGCAGAGGACAAUAAUAAAGCAACACUAGCCAUGCAAGAAAUAGAAAGGAACAUGAGAAUGCAGAAAGAGAAGCUGGACCAGGUGUCCAGGGAGAAGGAAGAGCUGCAGAGGGAUGUGGCCCUCCGGCAGCACCAGGAACAGGCGAAGGAUGAAGAGAGAGAUCUUCAGAUAAAGGAGCUGAAGGAGAAGUUGGGCCGAACAGAAGGAGAGUUGAACAGAAUCCCAGAGAGGAGUGUUGAGCUGGAACGGCAGGUGGUGGAACUGAAAGCCUACAAAGACCAAACCCAGAGUUUACAGUCUGAUGAAAAGCUGGAGCAGAUGACGAAGAGGAAUAAGGAAUUGCAGGAGGAGCUUGAGACCCUGAAGCAGCAGAACUCUCAGUAUCAGGAACAGUUGAGUUCAGAAACACAGAACAUCGACAGCCUCCGCAAAGAAAUGUGAGUCUCCCGCUGACGUGCACCCAUGCAUAUGCAAUCUUUCAUUAUUUAUUCAGGACUUUUUGACACUUCCAUCGAUAGUGAUAGUAGUGAGAGGACUGGAAAUAAUUGGCAGGAGAGGAAAUGACAUGAUCCAGCCUCAAAUGUAUUAGUUCACGUUUGCUGACCACUGAACAACAGCUGCAACAAAUAAGCGCCAUUUAACG